CUAUCUCUUCUUUUAUUUUCUUCUUCUUCUUUCUCUUUCUUCUUUCCUUCUUCCCCUUCUUCUGUUCUUCAUCUUUGGUGAAUUCUUAUAAGAAUUCUGAGGUUGUGAUGUCGGGAUAAUUAGACAAGAGUCAUGGGUUGUUGCUGGAGGAGGUGUUGUUCUUGGUAGCUGAUUCUUUUUUAGGAAAUCAAGAUAUUUCAGAGAGAACUGAAGAUUAGGGUUUUAAGAUUUGGUCUUGAGAUAUUUAUUGAAUUGAAUCGGUGUUUUGAGAUACUGAUGGAUGAAUAAUAAGAGUUUGAUGAUUUAUUGAAGUUGUAAGGUUGUUGAUGAUUGAAUCAAGAGUUACGGUUAUAUAAAGGAAACUCAGAGAAGAUCCAAUAGAUGUAAUUGAUGUUCUAAGGAAGUGUUUAGAGAUGGGUUUUGUGUAUUGAGAACAAAGAAGAAGAGUUGGGUAUUCAAUUUAGGGAUUGAUUACAGAGAAGAAGUUUAAUUAAGAAUUGAAAGGUUAGGAUUUCAAAGAAUGUUUAGAGACGAUUUGAAGAAGAAAUUGGUUAUUGUUUUGAAAUUAAUUCUAUCCCAAGGAGUCGGAGUUUGAAGAAUCGAUUCACAGAAGAAGGUGAGCUGAUGUCAACUUGCUGGAAUGGAACUAUUUAAGGUAAAUGUUUAUGUAAGUAAAUUAGUACAACCUUCAGUUCAUUAUUGAGAUUAUGUGAAUGCUUAUGAAGUUAAGAAUUUUGUUGAUAUAAAAUGGAGCUGUGUUGAUUAGGGUUUAGGUUUAUUUUGAUUUACAGGGGUUGGUACUUAUUAAGGAUGAAACAGAAACUGAGUUUUAGAAGUGGUGUUGACAUCAGUUACACAGAACUGUGUUGGUUGUAGUGAACUGGACAAGGAAAUGGUAAUGGUGAUAGUUUUAGUGUGGCUGUUGGGUUGUUGUAUAGUGGCUGAGAAGAUGUUGGUGAAGAAUUUACCUGUUCUUUGUGUAUUUUGAGUGAUCUGGUGGUGCAGGAAUGGAUAAGUUAAACUACAUUUGGUGAUGAUGUUGCUGUGGUGAGGUCAUAGUGGUGAUGGAGCUGAACUAAUAGUGCAGGGGUUAGUGGUACUAGUAAAGCUGGUGGAGGAAAUUAUAGGUAAUAUGAAGAGAGUAUGAUCUCUACUGAAAUGCAAAUGGAGUAUUAAGGUUUAGUGUAAUAUUGCAUUGAGUUAUAAGUUGUAGUGGUAUUGUUAAAGCUGCAGGGGAUAUAAGUGGCUGGUGGAAGUUUAGGAACUGUUUUGAGAUAUGGAAUAGAGUUACAGUUACAACUUGUUGAGCUGAAUUGAUUGAUGAGUGCUGAAAUUUGGAAGUGAUAAUGGUGGAUAAGACAUUUUGGAUGUGAAGAAUGACUGUGGUUAGAAUGAGUGUAUGUGUUGAUGAGCAGCUUUGUAAUGGUGGUAUGUUAGAGUGGUGAUUGACUGAAUGUGCAAUGGUGGCGUCGAGCGUGGUUUUGAGUGAAGAGGAUUUGGAUAAUUGCAGCUACUGCAUUCGCAGUUAUCUAUUAACAACGAUCGAUUCAAAGGAUGAACCGCUGGAUCGUGGAUCUCGAGGUAGGCGUGGCUUGUCAUCAAAAGAGUUUCAGGGACAGAUUAGAAUUGCGCAGCGAAAGCUUCAAGGGUUGAUUUCGUUAGUUGGUUAACUUCUGCUAUAUUUAUUAUAUAUUGUAUAUUCUAUUUGUAAACCAAAUGGCUAUUGUAUAAGUAUCAAUUGAGAGGAGUUUUGUAUAUAUAUAUAUUCCAGAGCGGGGCUAGUUUCUGGAUUAAGUUUUGCAACUGAUUUCUUAAUUGAAUGCUUAAGUACAUGUUUUAG